rnacentral:rRNA from 1 species
UACGUAGGGUGCAAGCGUUGUUCGGAAUUAUUGGGCGUAAAGAGCUCGUAGGCGGUUCAGUAAGUCGGGUGUGAAACCCCCAGGCUCAACCUGGGGACGCCACCCGAUACUGCUGUGACUAGAGUCCAGUAGGGGAGUGUGGAAUUCCCGGUGUAGCGGUGAAAUGCGCAGAUAUCGGGAGGAACACCAGCGGCGAAGGCGGCACUCUGGGCUGGAACUGACGCUGAGGAGCGAAAGCGUGGGUAGCAAACAGG